rnacentral:rRNA from 1 species
GACGAACGCUGGCGGCGUGCUUAACACAUGCAAGUCGAACGGAAAGGCCCUGCUUUUGUGGGGUGCUCGAGUGGCGAACGGGUGAGUAACACGUGAGUAACCUGCCCUUGACUUUGGGAUAACUCCAGGAAACUGGGGCUAAUACCGGAUAGGAGCUCCUGCUGCAUGGUGGGGGUUGGAAAGUUUCGGCGGUUGGGGAUGGACUCGCGGCUUAUCAGCUUGUUGGUGGGGUAGUGGCUUACCAAGGCUUUGACGGGUAGCCGGCCUGAGGGGGUGACCGGCCACAUUGGGACUGAGAUACGGCCCAGACUCCUACGGGAGGCAGCAGUGGGGAAUAUUGCACAAUGGGCGGAAGCCUGAUGCAGCAACGCCGCGUGCGGGAUGACGGCCUUCGGGUUGUAAACCGCUUUCGCCUGUGACGAAGCGUGAGUGACGGUAAUGGGUAAAGAAGCACCGGCUAACUACGUG